rnacentral:rRNA from 1 species
UACAGAGGGUGCGAGCGUUGUUCGGAAUUAUUGGGCGUAAAGGGCGCGUAGGCGGUGCGGUAAGUCACCUGUGAAAUCUCCUGGCUCAACUGGGAGCUUGCAGGCGAAACUGCCGUGCUGGAGUGUGGGAGAGGUGCGUGGAAUUCCUGGUGUAGCGGUGAAAUGCGUAGAUAUCAGGAGGAACACCUGUGGCGAAAGCGGCGCACUGGACCACAACUGACGCUGAUGCGCGAAAGCUAGGGGAGCAAACAGG